UCAAAGGUAUUUUUGGUAUUAUAUGGCCAGUGAUCUUGGAUUAUCAUAGCAUACCAAAUAAAUUACUGGUGCAUACAUGGGGAUCUUUAAUUACUGUACUAUGGCCAAUGAAAUAUAGUGAUCUUAGAUCACUAGAGAUUAGAUCAUUCCAAGAUUUCGAUCAUCAGUGAUCUUAGAUUACCGUGAUAAUCUCAGUUGGGUCAUCAAAUACUGCCUC
rnacentral:lncRNA from 1 species